UACGUAGGGUACAAGCAUUAAUCGGAAUGAUUGGGCGUAAAGGGCGCGUAGGCGGUCCUGUAAGUCAGAUGUGAAAUUCCAGAGCUCAACUCUGGAGCUGCAUAUGAAACUGCAGGACUAAAGAGGUAAGACGGAGAAAGCGGAACUCCACGUGUAGCGGUGAAAUGCGUAGAUAUGUGGAAGAACACCUGUGGCGAAAGCGGCUUUCUAGUUUUAACCUGACGCUGAGGCGCGAGAGCAAGGGGAGCAAACAGG
rnacentral:rRNA from 1 species